CCUACGGGAGGCAGCAGUGAGGAAUAUUGGUCAAUGGACGAGAGUCUGAACCAGCCAAGUAGCGUGAAGGAUGACUGCCCUAUGGGUUGUAAACUUCUUUUAUAAUGGAAUAAAGUGAGGCACGUGUGCCUUUUUGUAUGUACUUUAUGCAUAAGGAUCGGCUAACUCCGUGCCAGCAGCCGCGGUAAUACGGAGGAUCCGAGCGUUAUCCGGAUUUAAUGGGGUUAAAGGGAGCGUAGAUGGGUUGUUAAGUCAGUUGUGAAAGUUUGGGGCUCAACCGUAAAAUUGCAAUUGAUACUGGCAGUCUUGAGUACAGUUGAGGUAGGCGGAAUUCGUGGUGUAGCGGUGAAAUGCGUAGAGAUCACGAAGAACUCCGAUUGCGAAGGCAGCUUACUAAACUGCCACUGACAUUGAUGCUCGAAAGUGUGGGUAUCAAACAGGAUUAGAUACCCUGGUAGUC
rnacentral:rRNA from 1 species